GACGAACGCUGGCGGCGUGCCUAAUACAUGCAAGUAGAACGCUGAAGAGAGGAGCUUGCUCUUCUUGGAUGAGUUGCGAACGGGUGAGUAACGCGUAGGUAACCUGCCUGGUAGCGGGGGAUAACUAUUGGAAACGAUAGCUAAUACCGCAUAAAAUGGAUUAUCGCAUGAUAAUCCAUUGAAAGGUGCAAAUGCAUCACUACCAGAUGGACCUGCGUUGUAUUAGCUAGUUGGUGGGGUAACGGCUCACCAAGGCGACGAUACAUAGCCGACCUGAGAGGGUGAUCGGCCACACUGGGACUGAGACACGGCCCAGACUCCUACGGGAGGCAGCAGUAGGGAAUCUUCGGCAAUGGACGGAAGUCUGACCGAGCAACGCCGCGUGAGUGAAGAAGGUUUUCGGAUCGUAAAGCUCUGUUGUAAGAGAAGAACGAGUGUGAGAGUGGAAAGUUCACACUGUGACGGUAUCUUACCAGAAAGAGACGGCUAACUACGUG
rnacentral:rRNA from 1 species